rnacentral:rRNA from 1 species
GUGGGGAAUAUUGGACAAUGGGGGGAACCCUGAUCCAGCCAUGCCGCGUGUGUGAAGAAGGCCUUUUGGUUGUAAAGCACUUUAAGCGAGGAGGAGGCUACCGAGAUUAAUACUCUUGGAUAGUGGACGUUACUCGCAGAAUAAGCACCGGCUAACUCUGUGCCAGCAGCCGCGGUAAUACAGAGGGUGCAAGCGUUAAUCGGAUUUACUGGGCGUAAAGCGCGCGUAGGUGGCCAAUUAAGUCAAAUGUGAAAUCCCCGAGCUUAACUUGGGACUUGCAUUCGAUACUGGUUGGCUAGAGUAUGGGAGAGGAUGGUAGAAUUCCAGGUGUAGCGGUGAAAUGCGUAGAGAUCUGGAGGAAUACCGAUGGCGAAGGCAGCCAUCUGGCCUAAUACUGACACUGAGGUGCGAAAGCAUGGGGAGCAAACAGGAUUAGAUACCCCUGUAGUCC